GCUCAGCGAGGAGGAGGCGGGGCCCAGGAUCCAGACCUUCAGGCAGAGGUGCCUGCGCUCCUUGGAAGGGGAUAAAGAGGAGGAUAUGGCAGGCCCCAGACGAAGGAAGCCACACAGGGGAUGCCAGAUGCUUUGGAUGUCACGCUGGCUACAGGUGGCUUCUCCAGCACCCUCUACUCUCCGGCUCACUACCCACGAGGACACAGGGCUCGGGAGCCCACAGAUACCGGCAUGAGACAAACAUCCCGAGUGACCAGUGCAAUAGAACAACAACCCCUCUUCCCCAGCGAUGUCCGAGUCCAAAUCCCCAGGACCCCUGGCUGCGCUGUCGGAAAGGGAGUUUGCUGAUGGGAUUAAGGGAAGGUUUCUAGAAAUGUGUGUGCACAGCUGAAGGGUCCGCUCCUCUGUGAGGCUUCUGGACACUGGGAAGUUGAACCUUCACCACUUCGCCCUGCAAGGCAUGGGGUGUCUGUGGCUACCUCCUGUCCCGGAGCCUGUGCUGAAUAUUUUUGUCAGUUUGGAGACAAAAUAUUAUCUCACUGCUCCAAUUUGCAUUUCUUUACAUUAUGGGGGGGGUUUUUGGGUUUUUUUGGUACUGGGGAUUGAACUCAGGACCCUGUGCUUGUGCGGCAGGCGUCAGAACCACUGAGCUAAAUCCCCGGCUCUUUACAUUAUGUUCAUUGCAUUUCUCCCUCUUUGAGCUGCCUGCUGGUAAUCUGUACUUGUUUUCUAUUGGGUUUGUCAUACUUUUUGCUUGUUAACUUUUAAGCACUCUGCAUUUUUUCUAAGUAAUAAUCAAUUGUUUAUAUUAAGGGUUGCAAAUAUUUCUUCCAU